rnacentral:rRNA from 1 species
CCUACGGGUGGCAGCAGUGGGGAAUAUUGGACAAUGGGCGAAAGCCUGAUCCAGCCAUGCCGCGUGUGUGAAGCAGGCCUUCGGGUUGUAAAGCACUUUCAGUGGGGAAGAAAGCCUUGGGGCUAAUACCCUCGAGGAAGGACAUCACCCACAGAAGAAGCACCGGCUAACUCCGUGCCAGCAGCCGCGGUAAUACGGAGGGUGCGAGCGUUAAUCGGAAUUACUGGGCGUAAAGCGCGCGUAGGCGGUCUGAUAAGCCGGUUGUGAAAGCCCCGGGCUCAACCUGGGAACGGCAUCCGGAACUGUCAGGCUAGAGUGCAGGAGAGGAAGGUAGAAUUCCCGGUGUAGCGGUGAAAUGCGUAGAGAUCGGGAGGAAUACCAGUGGCGAAGGCGGCCUUCUGGACUGACACUGACGCUGAGGUGCGAAAGUGUGGGUAGCAAACAGGAUUAGAUACCCUGGUAGUC